rnacentral:pre_miRNA from 1 species
UGAUGAAGAUGAAGAUGAUGAUGGUGAUGAAGAUGAUGGUGAUGAAGAUGAUGACACCUGGCUGUCAUCAUCUUCAUCAUCAUCAUCAUCAUCAAAC